rnacentral:rRNA from 1 species
CUAGCGGCGGACGGGUUAGUAACGCGUGGGAACGUACCCUUCUCUAAGGAAUAGCCACUGGAAACGGUGAGUAAUACCUUAUACGCCCUUCGGGGGAAAGAUUUAUCGGAGAAGGAUCGGCCCGCGUAAGAUUAGAUAGUUGGUGGGGUAAUGGCCUACCAAGUCUACGAUCUUUAGCUGGUUUUAGAGGAUGAUCAGCAACACUGGGACUGAGACACGGCCCAGACUCCUACGGGAGGCAGCAGUGGGGAAUCUUAGACAAUGGGCGCAAGCCUGAUCUAGCCAUGCCGCGUGUGUGACGAAGGCCUUAGGGUCGUAAAGCACUUUCGCCUGUGAUGAUAAUGACAGUAGCAGGUAAAGAAACCCCGGCUAACUCCGUGCCAGCAGCCGCGGUAAUACGGAGGGGGUUAGCGUUGUUCGGAAUUACUGGGCGUAAAGCGCACGUAGGCGGAUUGGAAAGUAUGGGGUGAAAUCCCAGGGCUCAACCCUGGAACUGCCUCAUAAACUUCCAGUCUAGAGUUCGAGAGAGGUGAGUGGAAUUCCGAGUGUAGAGGUGAAAUUCGUAGAUAUUCGGAGGAACACCAGUGGCGAAGGCGGCUCACUGGCUCGAUACUGACGCUGAGGUGCGAAAGUGUGGGGAGCAAACAGGAUUAGAUACCCUGGUAGUCCACACCGUAAACGAUGAAUGCCAGUCGUCGGCAAGCAUGCUU